rnacentral:rRNA from 1 species
AACGAACGCUGGCGGCAGGCUUAACACAUGCAAGUCGAGCGCGGUCCUUCGGGACUGAGCGGCGGACGGGUGAGUAACGCGUGGGAACGUGCCCCUUUCUUCGGAAUAGCCCUGGGAAACUGGGAGUAAUGCCGAAUACGCCGGGCCAUAGCGAUAUGGUUCGGGAAAGAUUUAUCGGAGAGGGAUCGGCCCGCGUUGGAUUAGGUAGUUGGUGGGGUAAUGGCCUACCAAGCCGACGAUCCAUAGCUGGUUUGAGAGGAUGAUCAGCCACACUGGGACUGAGACCCGGCCCAGACUCCUACGGGAGGCAGCAGUGGGGAAUCUUGGACAAUGGGGGCAACCCUGAUCCAGCCAUGCCGCGUGAUCGAUGAAGGCCUUAGGGUUGUAAAGCUCUUUCACCGGAGAAGAUAAUGACGGUAUCCGGAGAAGAAGCCCCGGCUAACUUCGUGCCAGCAGCCGCGGUAACAC